UACGGGGGGGGCAAGCGUUGUUCGGAAUUACUGGGCGUAAAGGGCUCGUAGGCGGCCAACUAAGUCAGACGUGAAAUCCCUCGGCUUAACCGGGGAACUGCGUCUGAUACUGGAUGGCUUGAGGUUGGGAGAGGGAUGCGGAAUUCCAGGUGUAGCGGUGAAAUGCGUAGAUAUCUGGAGGAACACCGGUGGCGAAGGCGGUUCUCUGGGCCUGUACUGACGCUGAGGAGCGAAAGCGUGGGGAGCAAACAGG
rnacentral:rRNA from 1 species